UUACGGCCACAUCACAUUGAAACACCGGUUCACGUACGAUCACCUAAGUUAAGCAUUGUCGACUCUGGUCAGUACCUUGAUGGGACACCCCUUGGGAAUACCAGCUGCUGUAAG